GUGCUCGGGUGUCUCUUCAGAUUGAAUAAAUCUUUUGCCUUACUAAAGAUUUCUGUGGAGGAACAAUCACAAGUAAUUAAUAAUUUUUUGAAGUUUAAUAAGUCCAAGU